CCCUUGACUCGUAGUAAGAACUAUCAAGUACUGUGCGCUGAACACUUCACGUGAAGGAUCUAAGCAUUCAUUCUGGGAACUAGAUCAGUUUCUAUUUAACAGGUUUUUCAAGCUGGUUUUGUGACCUUCCUCUACACAAGCUGCCCUCCCUUCCCCCGCCCUUCACCAGACAACGAGCUGCCAGGUUGACCACGCUGCUCAACAUUCUGAUGCUGUUCUGUGAGCUCCGGGUACAAGCAACUCCCUCUCAUCCUCUGACUCCUGGCCUGACUUGUUUGUAGGACCUAGCACCCAGGGGUUGCCCCGUGACCUGAGGGUAACAGUGCUGGAGGGCUGAGGAGGUCUGUGAUGGCUCCCUCCGAGCCCCGAGGGAUGUAAUCAGAAUGACCCAGAGCCUGGUUCCUGAAGCUCUCACCCUUACCCUAACCCAGCUCUUGCCUUGGGCUCAAACCCCUGCCUUGCCUCACAACGAUACACGACCCAUCCUUGUCCCUUAGCAGGGUUGCCCUCAACCAUACAUGGAGGCAAGGACAAACUGCUUUCAGAGGUUCUGGGGAUGGCUUUCAGGUUAUGUGCAUAGCCCAAGUACCCAUGGGCAGAUCAAGAAAGGGGGACAGGUGAGGCUGGUGUCACAUGGAAGUCGCCUGGGCCCACAGUCAGCUCUGUGGGUCAUGGCUUUGGAUCAGGGGAGACACAGGGACUGGCCUGAGUCACCAGAGACAAGGAUGUCAGGGAUGGCCCAAGCGGUGGGGCGUACCGAGACCUUGGGGCUAUAAACCCCAUCAGGUCCUGUCCCUCUGGCCUGAUGGGAGUCUGUCUGAGGAAGCAGCCUGGUCACAAGAUGUAGAACUUGACCCUUAUCUACAGACCAGAAGGAGGGCUUUGUCUCCCUAGACACUCAUGCCCUCCCUCAGGGCAGAUUCUCAGGACUGGGCUGUGUUGGGCAGACCCACUCACUUGAUUUUUGCUUAAUUUAUUCAAGGACCCUUUCUGCCCCAUCCUUUGGAAAUUCUCCUCUGGGCUGGGAGCUACAGAGGCUAUAGCUGGCACUGUCCCUCUGUCAGGCGGGUGACCACGUACUCUCUAACAGCCCCUCUUGAAGCCGCUGGGAGCCGGGUUUCCCAUCAGCCCCUUGGCAAGCUCCAGCCCAGCCUUCCUUGGUGCGGGGGUCCUGAUUUAGAACUACUUGCCCUGGGCUGGUGCAGCCUGAGCACUCAGGAAAAAACGAAAGAGAGCCACUGUAGCUCAAGCUCUUGAUCAAUACAUAGCAGCUAUAAUUAUUAUUAAUUCAUAUUCCUUGGGGGGAAUUUUCAUGCUAAUAGGAAACUCCCAAGAGCUACAGGGAUACUCUGUCAGGCACCUCUCCUAUGUUACAUCACUCCAUCCUUACCACUGCCUGGAAGGUGGCACUGCCAACCCUCACUUCAUGAAGGGGGGAUCCAAGGCCCCGGGAUGUUAAGGGAGGUGACUAAGGUCCCAUGGCAGCAAGGGGGUGGUAGAGACAGGAGCCCUGGCUCCAAGUUCUGGGUUCUUUCCUCCCCACUCCUCUGCGGCACCAGAAGACCUAGGGAACUGAAAACACUCCAGUCUGACAGUACAUCGUCAGACCGGGAGACAGAUGGAUGAGGAGGGCUUUGGGGUAGGGCUUUUGGGGGGCCUCUCCCACCCCUGGCCCUUGGUUCUAAGGGGCACCCAGCUGAUCCAUAGAGGCUGGGGAGACAGACAAAGAGCUGAGGUUUUUCCUGGCUCUUCUGCAGUUUGGGGACGCUGCUGGUAUCUCCCUCCCAAGCCAUGCCCGAGGAGUGCUGGGGGCCAGGGCUGACAUCUGUCCCUGAGCCCCCUCUCCCCAGGCCCCAAGAUAGGGCUGUGAUUAAUCAACGACAAAAGCAGAAACAAACAGAAAAAUGUAAUCAGCUUGGGAAGGGCAGGGCUGGGCUGGGCCGUGGCAAUCAGCUUUCCCGCUGGGGCUGUUGGCUGAUUGAAGGUGGUUCCGGUAGGGCCUCCAGGAACAGGUCCAGCAGCUGGGGCCAUGGAGAGGCCAGGGGGUCAAGCCCUCCCCCAUAUAUAUGCAUGUACAUCUGUGUUCCCAUGCCCAUGCCACUCCUAGUCCAUGGGUCUGCACACCACCCCCCUCCCACACCCACAGGCUCCUACCCAGAAGCUCCUGCCCUCCCCUCCCCUCCCCUGCCAGCUCACAACCUUGGCACACGUAGGUUUCCAUACACACUCCCAACAUGCAUCCAUCUGCGUGUGGACUCAAAAACACAUGAACACACCCUCCUGGGUAACAGAUAUAUGCACACACAUGCUGCUCCCACAAACACCUGCCCCCUCACUUCGAUGCACACACGUGCCUUGGGGCCUGGGUGAGUCUUGAGCACACAUGGGUCUAACCAGCCAUGUGAACAGACAGGCUCUCACACCAGGCCCUACAAGCACCCAGCCACCUCUCUGUUCUUCAGUGCCCUGAGUUGUGGGUGGGGAGAGGCAUGAAGCAGACCCUUGGCAGCUCCCCAGGCAGAGUGGUGGGGGCUUGGAAAGGAGCCAGGACUGGGGCUCUACUGUGGGGGGGAGCAAGGUCAGCCGCCAAGUUUCAGCCACAGGCAGGAGAGCCUGCCCCAGAUUUGUCCCAAGCUCCUGCCUGCCACCAGCGGCUUAUGACCUUGGUCAACGCCCUUCUCUCUCAGCCUCAGUUUCCCCACCUUGGAGCCCCUCCUGGCACCAAUAACUGUAUGAUUCUCCUCCAGGACCCAGGCGCCUGGGGCCCAUCUCAC